GACCCACAAGUUAGUUCUGACCCAGUAAUAACUUAUCUAGUGUCUUAACAGAGCACUCAAGAGAAAACGAGGAGAACAUGGUCUCUACAAUCAGUAAUCAAGCACUAUGUAAUGCAGAGAUAACUUAGCACCCUUCCUAUAUAAAGAAUAUGAGUAAUGAGACAACAUUAUGUUAAGAAACUGGUUGACAUAAACAGUAAAUGGACUGUGCUCUGUUCAAUGGAGGCUGGGGCAGGAUGUAUGAUGAG